rnacentral:rRNA from 1 species
GUCUACGGCCAUACCACCCUGAACGCGCCCGAUCUCGUCUGAUCUCGGAAGCUAAGCAGGGUCGGGCCUGGUUAGUACUUGGAUGGGAGAUUGAGAGGGAAGACAAACAAACAAACA